CAAUGUUUGCCCGGCUCCGAUGAGGGAGGGGCGAUGACGGCGGCGUGCUUUCGGCUUGCUCCAGUGCUUGUAGUUGUCGCUAGGUGGUCUAUGGACCUGGAUGUAAAUUUUACUUGUAGUGUUCUUUGUACUACCUUGACAGUUGAUGAAUAGAUCGGAAGUUUCUCGAAAAAAAAAACACGUAUCUCUCAGUUUAACGUUGGCUGAUUGCUAAGAAACCAGCAGCCUCGCUGGUGUUCCACGCGUCUGAACACACCCUGCGCACAUGACUCGUGUCCAGCAGGCCCACGCACCGCUGCCUCCAUACGACCUUAUCUUCUUGCCUGGUCGUCUUUCCCGAUCCCCAUUCCAUCGUUCUUCCCCUUGCGCCGUCUGUGCCACCAUUUAUCUCUCAAUCGCCGCUCCUCCUUCAACAACACCAUGCCUAAUAGGCUCGCCUCUCUCGCGGCCCGGCCGCUGGAGCUCGCCAUGCUCUUCUGCGAGAGGGGGAGAUGACAGUGCUGGAAGGCGACAGCCACCAUGGUUGCGGGACGAUGGCAGUUUCCGGCGGCGGCGCUGCGGGAUGUUGCAAGGCGGCGACGGGCCACGGCGAGAGGCGUGCUAUGACAGCGUCGACAACCGCGGAGGUGCCGCGAGGCUGCGGUGAUGCUUCAAUUUCCGUGGCUACGCUCGGUGCUGAGCUGCGCUCCAAGGGGCGGCCGCCGGUGCUACGACGACCUGCCGGUGGCUGCGCUGCUACGAGGCCGGCCUGGACUGGCACGGGACGCACGGCUGCUGCCGGGACGACAACAAACGGGGCAGCGACGCCUGGGCCUCGGCCUUUUUUUUUGUUCCUUCCUCGCUGGUACCAGGCUACCAGCUGUGUCUUAGUGGUUGGGGCAUGUGGUUGUGCAGCCUAACGACCCGAGUUUAAUUCUUAAAAUUGACAGGUGAUGCACAGGGGCUUUUCCCCAUUUAUCGAGGAUCAAGUUUGGUGUGUGGUGGAACCACGCAUCAAAAAAUAUCUUGAUACUCAUUUAAAAAAUUCUGAGGACCAUGUUUAUCUUGGUACUCAUACUAAAAUGGCCGUAU